GACGAACGCUGGCGGCGUGCUUAACACAUGCAAGUCGAACGGUGAAGCGCCUUCCUUUUUGGUGGGUGUGGAUGAGUGGCGAACGGGUGAGUAACACGUGAGUAACCUGCCCCCUUCUUCUGGAUAACCGCAUGAAAGUGUGGCUAAUACGGGAUAUUCUGGGUCUGUCGCAUGAUGGGUCUGGGAAAGAUAUUGUUUCGGUGGGGGAUGGGCUCGCGGCCUAUCAGCUUGUUGGUGGGGUGAUGGCCUACCAAGGCGGUGACGGGUAGCCGGCCUGAGAGGGUGGACGGUCACACUGGGACUGAGACACGGCCCAGACUGCGACGGGAGGCAGCAGUGGGGAAUAUUGCACAGUGGGCGCAAGCCUGAUGCAGCGACGCCGCGGGAGGGAUGGAGGCCUUCGGGUUGUGAACCUCUUUCGCCAGUGAAGCAGGCCUGCCUCGUUUGUGGGUGGGUUGACGGUAGCUGGAUAAGAAGCGCCGGCUAACUACGUG
rnacentral:rRNA from 1 species